CCACAGAUAACAUCAGAACAAAGUUGACUACCACUACAAAGUUGCCAAUGUCUUCGAAAUUGUUACAACCAAGCUUCUGUCUCCUCUUGGGCAGUGCCACUGGGCCUCCUGCGCCUCUCCUGGAUCAUCUGAACAUGGCUCCUGAUCCGCUGCUCUAACUCCCGGUCGCGGGCUGCCCUGGGGUCACACAGGUCAAGGGUAAAAUGAACCACCAUUCCACAAACUAAAGAUUCUCUUAGUUACAUACCGCUGUGGGUGCUGCAUGUUGUUGGUGGUGGAGGAUUAGCUGGCUAGCUACAGACUACAGAGACCAGAUGCUCGGAGUCCGGACCUGUCUGACCCUGUCCCUAAUCAAGACUCCUGAUACUUUAACCUGGCUGUGACUGACCAAUGCUCCCUCCCUCCACAUAUACAUUUAUCACACGAUUUCACACGAUUGAUUGAUAUAAUUAUUUGUUUAUUUAUUCCGAUGGACUGUACGCUGCAAUUCAGCUCUUGUACACCUUGACAAUAAACUAAACCUUAUACUGA